rnacentral:sRNA from 1 species
ACGGACCACUCGUACAGUUCGAUUCUGAGCGCGCCCUCCGCUCCCACCUGACGACCGUCAGCUUUCUUGUGUUGGCC